GGUAACUUACGGGCCCUGAGGAUAAAGUGGUGAGGAAGUAUCCACAAGUGUGCAUCCCUGGAACAUCAAGACCUGGAAGAUAGGAAGCUGGCAGUUACAACUCACUGUAACAGAUUCCCUGGGCUUGUUCCACUUUGAUGGUCUCCUGUAUUCUAUUUGAGUGGUUCUAGAAAAGUUAAGUGGCACACCAGGAAAAACCGGCACAGUGACUGCAUUGAGCAAUCUGAUCUGGUGGGCACCAUAGAUGUGUAAGUGGACACACAUGAAAUCCCCUGUGAUAGUCUGUUGUCAGCGUAUCUUUCUCUGGCUACCUUUAGGCUGCAGUUGGCUAGAACAUAGGAAAAAGGCUUAAUACCUCACAGACUAAGAGGCUUAACAAGUAAAAAAGCAAAACUACCCUACUUUCGUGAGAAUAUAGACAAUGGCUAUAAGUAAUCAUUGAAUCGAAAAAUGAGCACUUCAUCUAUCCACAGUACAUUUUAAAGUGAUCAUGGAUCAUUCAACCUGCAGUAGAAGAACAUUCUCAACCAUUGGUUUCACUAAGGUAUAAAACAAAGUUUUACAAGACUGGGUUGGCGGCAAUGACAGUGUGACUGGAUUCAACGGAUCAUCAUGUUCACUGCCUCAAAAAUGCUUGUAUUUCUGUGGAGGUUGAUGAUAUUUAGUCAUUCAGAAAGAUUUGCAGGAAAACCCAUGGUUUGAGGGAGCCUUGCAGAGGCCCGCCCUAGGCACCUCGACAGCGUUCUAGACAUCUACACAGCAGAGCUGUAUGCUUUUUCAUAAGGCCAUGGGAUUCUCAGGACUUUUGUUUUGCACUCUAAGAAUUGAGAUGGGAAGCAAUAUGGAUGAUUUAGCUAAAGACACUAAUAACAAACACAGAUCUACAAGUACCUUAAAAUGUCCAGAAGAAUCUCCAGCAAAAUGAAAGUCUAGAAGUGUUUUGGAGCAUGUAUGACUUACAGUUCCACGUGUACCAGCAACUUUGGGGGUGUUGGUAUUGGUGCCUGCUUCAUCAGCUCCUCGUACAAUAAAUGACUGGUUUGCUCUGCCAUCAUCAAUCCUUCCACAGCCGUGUCAGACAACAGCAUGCCUCACUGUUGCUCUAAAGUCAGGAGCGACUCCUGUUUUUGACUUGUGGUAAGUGCUGAAGUCUGGGUAAGCAGCCCACGAGGCCCUAACUCAUCUCUGCACACUCCUCAGCCCCUGUGCACCUGCUGAUCUUUGCCCCACCUUCAUCCUACUCCAUGCCAGCCUUGGUGUCCUCCUUUGCCCUGGGAUGCAUUAGGCAUUUUCUGCCUCAGACAUUUGCACAUGCUCUUCCUUCUGUGUAAACUAUUUUCCUAGAUCCGCAUGUGUUCAAUGCACUCAACGUGCUUCUGAGGUUUAUAGAAGCAUCAACUUCUCCAGUCUACUUAGCAUAAAAAACUGAAGGUGGUCAGGCUAUCUGUUGAAUUCCUUACUGUAGAGUUAAUCUUAUGUGUAGAAAGUUAAUUGCAAAUAGCGCUUAGUAAAAAAUAAUGGGAAUAGGAGAGGGAGGAGGAAGAUGGGUGGGAGUGCAGAUGGGAGAGUGGGUAUGUUGGGAACGAUUACUAUGUUCCUAAAGUUGUAUGUAUGAAAUGUAUCGUUUGUAUACCUUAAAUAAAAGGGUUUCUAGGAAAAAAAGUUGCUCCCUACUGCUGCUCUUCUGAUCACACUCCUUCUGCUCUGCUU